rnacentral:rRNA from 1 species
AGUGAACGCUGGCGGUAGGCCUAACACAUGCAAGUCGAACGGAAGCACAGUAAGAGCUUGCUCUUACGGGUGGCGAGUGGCGGACGGGUGAGGAAUACAUCGGAAUCUACUUUUUCGUGGGGGAUAACGUAGGGAAACUUACGCUAAUACCGCAUACGUCCUACGGGUGAAAGCAGUGGAUCUUCGCACCUUGCGCGAUUGAAUGAGCUGAUGUCGGAUUAGCUAGUUGGCGAGGUAAAGGCCCACCAAGGCGACGAUCCGUAGCUGGUCUGAGAGGAUGAUCGGCCACACUGGAACUGAGACACGGUCCAGACUCCUACGGGAGGCAGCAGUGGGGAAUAUUGGACAAUGGGCGCAAGCCUGAUCCAGCCAUACCGCGUGAGUGAUGAAGGCCUUCGGGUUGUAAAGCCCUUUUGUUAGGAAAGAAAAGCAGCAGAUUAAUACCUCGCUGUUCUGACGGUACCCAAAGAAUAAGCACCGGCUAACUUCGUG